rnacentral:rRNA from 1 species
ACGGGGGGUGCAAGCGUUGUUCGGAAUCAUUGGGCGUAAAGCGCGUGUAGGCGGCUUGACAAGUCAGAUGUGAAAUCACUGGGCUUAACCCAGGAAGUGCAUUUGAAACUGUCUAGCUUGAGUAAGGGAGAGGAAAGUGGAAUUCCUGGUGUAGAGGUGAAAUGCGAAGAUAUCAUGAGGAAAAACGGUGGCGAAGGCGACAGGAUGGCCCUAUACUGACGCUGAGACGCGAAAGCGUGGGUAGCAAACAG